rnacentral:lncRNA from 1 species
GUUGAAACUUUGUCUGAGUUUCUACCAUAAAAUAUGCUCCAUCAAAUGGGUUUUGAGGACUCAUGUAUACCUCUCUUUGACUCUCAUCUUUAAGUAACAAAGGGUAGGAAUGGUCUAAUUUGGGUAGAGUAUUCAUCAUGAGAAUAUUGCCUCUUGCUUGGCGAUACACAUCAUUAAGUCCCAUAAGAAAUUGAAUAACUCUCUGGUCUUCCAAAAACUUAGUGACCUUUUUCUGUCCAUCACAUACAUAGUCACAGAUGAACCCUAAGUGUGUGCUCUGAGAAUCCAACUCAUCUCAUAGUCUCUUCAGAGUUGUGAAAUAAACCUGCUAUAGUGCUAUUUCCUUGAACUGACUUAGAUAUAUCCUUUUGCAAGUGAUAUAGUUUGGCCCCAUUAGAUUGGCCAAAUCUAUGCUCAAGACUGUUCCAUUGCAGACUUGGAGUAGAUGACAUUGUCUUCUAUUUCUUUAAACACUGAAUUCAGUAACCAUGUCACAAAUGAAGCCAAACUUAUUCUUGGCAGAUAGUGCAAUUAGGAUUGACCUCCUCCAACCUGAAAAACCUCUCCAAUUGAAUGGUGUAUUCACGAGAGUCAUACUAAGCAUCAGAGGAGUGAAGAAAAUAAGGAUGAUUAUAGUCAUGAUUGACUGUAGUAGAUGAAUAACCAAGGUUGAAUACCACUAGAGUAAAGAUCAGUGGAGUUUCUUCUGUUACUGCCAUGCUUAACUUUUAGAUUUAUGAGACUUUGAGAAGGAUCGAGCUAUAAAAGCUCUGAUACCAUGUAAAUUUUAACAAGAAAGAUGAAAAAGUUUUCUUUGUGUAUG